rnacentral:rRNA from 1 species
AUGGCAAUUAUCCAUACAUAUGGGAAGCCUGACAUCUUCUUGACCAUGACCUGCAACCCUAACUGGGAAGAGAUAUCGAAUGAGUUGUUUCCUGGUCAGACAGCGCAAGACCGACUUGAUCUUGUGGCUCAUGUGUUCCAUGGAAAGCUAGAGCCUAUGAAAGAGAUGUUAUUCAAGUAGCAUAUCCUAGGUGUUGUUGUCGCGUAUGUAUACGUAGUCGAGUUCCAAAAGAGGGGUCUCCUCCAUGCACACUUUUCUGUUGAUCAUGGAUUCUGCAUAUAA